AACGAACGCUGGCGGCAUGCCUAACACAUGCAAGUCGAACGAGACCUUCGGGUCUAGUGGCGCACGGGUGCGUAACGCGUGGGAACCUGCCUUUAGGUUCGGAAUAACUCAGAGAAAUUUGAGCUAAUACCGGAUAAUGUCUUCGGACCAAAGAUUUAUCGCCUUCAGAUGGACCCGCGUUGGACUAGUCAGUUGGUGGGGUAAAGGCCUACCAAGGCGACGAUCCAUAGCUGGGCUGAGAGGAUGAUCAGCCACACUGGGACUGCGACACGGCCCAGACUCCUACGGGAGGAAGCAGUGGGGAAUAUUGGACAAUGGGCGAAAGCCUGAUCCAGCAAUGCCGCGGGAGUGAUGAAGGCCUUAGGGUUGUAAAGCUCUUUUACCCGAGAUGAUAAUGACAGUAUCGGGAGAAUAAGCUCCGGCUAACUCCGUGCCAGCAGCCGCGGUAA
rnacentral:rRNA from 1 species